CCUACGGGAUGCAGCAGUCGAGAAUCAUUCACAAUGGGGGAAACCCUGAUGGUGCGACGCCGCGUGGGGGAAUGAAGGUCUUCGGAUUGUAAACCCCUGUCAUGUGGGAGCAAAUUAAAAAGCUAGUACCACAAGAGGAAUAGACGGCUAACUCUGUGCCAGCAGCCGCGGUAAUACAGAGGUCUCAAGCGUUGUUCGGAAUCACUGGGCGUAAAGCGUGCGUAGGCUGUUUCGUAAGUCGUGUGUGAAAGGCGCGGGCUCAACCCGCGGACGGCCCAUGAUACUGCGAGACUAGAGUAAAGGAGGGGGAACCGGAAUUCACGGUGUAGCAGUGAAAUGCGUAGAUAUCG
rnacentral:rRNA from 1 species